GCAUCAAUAGCUCAGUGGCAGAGCGGUGAGGCAUCAAUCCAUUUGGCCUGGGUUCGAGCCCCAGUCGAUGCA